AUGGCUCAGAACGAACGACUGGCGGCAUGGAUUAGGCAUGCAAGGUCGAACGGGAGCAAGCAAUGCUCCAGUGGCGCAAGGGUGAGGAACACGUGAACAACCUGCCUUCGAGUUGGGGAUAGCUUCUGGAAACGGGAGAUAAUACCGAAUAACAUCACCGGAUCGCAUGAUCUGAUGAUCAAAGCAGCAAUGCGCUUGAAGAGGGGUUCGCGUCCCAUUAGCUAGUUGGUGAGGUAACGGCCCACCAAGGCGAUGAUGGGUAGCUGGUCUGAGAGGACGAUCAGCCACAUUGGGACUGAGAUACUGCCCAGACUCCUACGGGAGGCUGCAGUCGAGAAUUUUGGGCAAUGGACGAAAGUCUGACCCAAGCAAUGCCGCGUGCGGGAUGAAGGUCUUCGGAUUGUAAACCGCUGUCAAGAGGGACGAAACAUGACGGUACCUCUGGAGGAAGCCACGGCUAACUACGUGCCAGCCGCCGC
rnacentral:rRNA from 1 species